rfam:Ensifer sp. YIC4027 scaffold9, whole genome shotgun sequence.
AUGACGAGUUUGUCAUCUCCCGGCCUUUGACCACGGAUGUAUUGGCAUUGGCAGGUCGAGAUGGUGAGGAAGGUCGGGUUCGCCCGGCCUUUUUUAUU